rnacentral:rRNA from 1 species
AAUCGGUGAAAACUUGAUCCAACAAUGCCGCGUGUGUGAAGAAGGCCUGCGGGUUGUAAAGCACUUUCUUCGGGGAGGAAAAGCGUCGGGCGAAUAACCCGGCGUCUUGACGUUUCCUGAAGAAAAGAAGCACCGGCAAACUUCGUGCCAGCAGCCGCGGUAAUACGAAGGGUGCAAGCGUUAUUCGGAAUCAUUGGGCGUAAAGGGCUCGCAGGCGGCCGGGUAAGUCGGGUGUGAAAUCCCUGGGCUCAACCCAGGAAUGGCAUCCGAUACUGCUUGGCUUGAGUCCGGUAGAGGGCAGUGGAAUUCCCGGGGUAGCGGUGAAAUGCGUAGAUAUCGGGAAGAACACCAGUGGCGAAGGCGACUUCCUGGACCGAGACUGACGCUCAGGGGGGAAAGCGUGGGGAGCAACGAGGAUUAAAUACCCUCGUAGUCCCCCCCGUAAACGUUGGGGAUUAGCCGUUGGCCGCUUUGAUGGGGUUAGUGCCGCAGCUAACGCGUAAUCCUCCGCC